AUCAUCCACGUCUACGUCGUUCCUCGACUUUGUUGGAACUUUGGGCAACUUCCUAAUGCACACCUCUGUUCAACCAGCGUCGCUACGCAGCUUCGUACAAUUAUCGUUACUAUUCCGUUUCCGUACCUUCCCCAUAUUUUUAGCCCUUUAUAUCUGAAUUUCCGGUUUCGUUUUUCUGUCACAAGGGUUAACAAAUCUUCUUGAUAUUGUCUUUGCAUCGUCGUUGGAAUGUUUUGGAUCGAGAUCUUGAUGAUGUGGCGAAGAUUAAAAUGGUAAAGAAUUCUUACUGGAACUGGACCUAUCAGGGAUAUUUUGGAUAUUUUGUUCUCACGAUUAGUAAAACUAUUCAGAUAUCUACCAUUAUCAAGGGCAACGCUAAUUUUUUAAUAAGUGCUGAAACUAGAAAGGAAACAUUUAUAUCGGAAAUUAACUUGGAUUCAGAAACUGACGCGGCACACGCUAAAUCUUCUGUACUUAUACUGUUAGCAGAGAACGUGGCAGCGCGGUGGAAAAAUUCUGCAACGCGACACGAGACGGCAAUCGCUUAAUUGUGAUUAAUUGCGGUUUUACCAGGAAAAGAUCGCGUUGUAACGCGCGGUCCGAUUACCCGGCGCGAGUCGCUCAAGCGAUUCGCUUGCUCGCGCAACUUUAAAGAGCCAGUUGCGUGCAAUGCUUGUUUCCUUACUUUCACGCAUCGUAUCGAAACUAUAGCCCUCUUGAUUUCUCAGCCAUUCUACUCGAUCGUGCAUGCUGAUCCUUUUUCACGAUAACGGUUAAGACCAUCCUCUUCCUACCUCUGACUGACCGCCGCAAAUAACUUUAUUGCGGCAAUUAAAAUUAUCGCUGUCCCGGCUAAAUCAUCUGAUUAACACACGCACAAAUGUGCUGUCUCUUUUGGAGUUUACUCUUUUGGAGAAGAACCAAUAUUCUGUACAAAUAUUUUCUUUAGGUUUUUAAUACUUCCUAAUCCUAUUCACCUUACACGUUUUUGCUAGGAACCAGAUUAGUUCUAUAGAAGGCUCUGUAAUUAUAUUAUCCUUAAUGUUCAUGUCAAAGGAAAAUAUCCCAUGAACCGCAAUACAAUUUAUCUACAUCAUGUUCAAGAUGAAUACUACGAAAAAGCUUAAGGUACAAUGGAAGGAGGAAAGUUUCGAUGCCUAUUGCUGCGACAUCCGGUUUCCGGGCAAGUGAAAUGGCGAAUGGAAUAAUUUAAUAUAGGGGCGAUACAAGGGCCAAAGCGAUCGGUCUAAUCGUGUCUGAACGAGGUUAAAACACCGGCACCCGCCGCUCUUAUUUACGUCCGACAAUAAGUCAAUUCAUCACUCUGCGAUUUGGCCUUAAGUGGUAUCACUGACUCAUACACACAGCCGUCUGGAGCGGUGUGCCUAUUUCGGGCAUAAAUCACUGUUGCCCGUGCGGUGCGUAAUAAUGAACAAGCGAGCGUAGCACGCGACCCUUUAAACGUGCUGGCUGGAAAACGAGUGGCUCGUAAGGUAGUAGGGAUUAGCUUUGGUCCCUAUGUGUCCCUGCUUAAUCCUGAAAACGUUACGGGCCGCGAAAUUCUUCGCCCGUAUCAGGUCACGUAAAAAUGCAAUUUUACGAGUACGUAGGUUUACAAACUAGGGGCCAAGCUAUGCAGAUAACAAUGAAGAUAAAGAAAUGGAUUUUUAUUGCUUGAUAAAUUGGUAUAGCUAACGUACAAUCAGUGUAGAUAUCUUAGAAGUAUUGUGGUUGAUGGAAUAUUUUUAUAACGGUAACUCUAGAAUUUGAAUUGCGAGGCAAAAUUGUUUCUAAUAAACGCAUGCAGUCGGUGAUGCAAUUGUGCUAAUGCGAAGUGCGUUUGCUCAGAGAAAUAGAAGAUACCAGGGAAGAUAUCACUUAGUACCGUGCAAUUAUUUAUGUUUAAGCUUUAAUUCAUAUUAAAUUGUUGGGGCACCAUAGGCAGUUAAUGAAGGGUAGAAUACUCUGGUAAUAUAAAGAUGCACCGAAGAAAAUCUAUUACGUCUGUUACACCAGUUGAUGAUUAAUAUAGAAUGCCUAUGACUUUUCUAUCUAGUCGUCGUCCACGUAAGACCCAAAGUCCUUUAACGAAGGUACGAAGUAUAAAAACUAUAUUGCCGUGGCAAUGUCAGGAGUCGCGACAUUUUAGUCGAAUGGCAGCGGGGGACGCGGAUAAACCAGGAAGUACGGGGAACCGACCGGAUCCGGCUAAGUUCUGGCACGGAUUUCGUUCACAGGCUCGUGGCCCACGGCCACGAAAACCCGGGAGACAUGGAUCGUGGGCAACAAGUCACCGGGAAACGGCGCGUGACCGCCACAUUCACGCUGCCAGAUUUACGACAAUAAAAAUGGGCGCCGCCGAAUGGAGGAUCGUCCUUUCGCCGGUCUGUAUCGAGGAAUCGAUUCGCUUUAUCGGGCAACAAUUACGACACCGCAACGGCAAUCACCAUGUUUCAAAGGAUGACUUCGAUGUAGAAACGAUUAUCUUGAUCAGAGUAAUUAGCAGAUUGCUUGGGCUCAGUUGUUGCCGGAGUAUGGAAAAGGGGAAGAAGAUAAUGAAAGGAUAUUUGGAACUGUUCAAUGUUCAAUUAUUUUCAUUGUCCAUUGUGUAAUGGACGACGAGGAAUUUGCGGAAUAUCUUUCCACGAAACCUCGUGUCACAUUUGGAUUCGAUACAUCGAUGGCCAAUGUGCUUGAAGAAGGGUUGCUGCAAGGAUACAAGGAUAUAAGAAUGGCUGGAUCGGCACCGGCCGUGUCUCAGCCACAAUAUUAUUCUUUCAGCCGAUACAACGUUUGGAUGGAAUGGGAAUGACGAAAGAAACGUUGGUAACAUAUUGGAGGGGUCGCGGGAUACGUCCAAGUCGCUCGUAUUAUGCCUUCUCGCCAGUACAUACACGGCCACGUGCCUAUGCGUGACACGUUUACGCUUGGCUGGCCGCAUUUCCACUCUCUCCCUCCGUAUCGGUCCGUAUUCAUCUCCGAUUUCUUGUUGGGGUGCGCGCCGAUUGCGUUUCCACUUUAACCGUGCGUCGUUCAACGUCUAUCAACGGGUACACGAGCUGCAUGCUACUUAAAUCCGCACGAAUCCAGCUGUCUGAUGAACGUGUUCAAUGUGAUAGCUUUUUUAUUUGCAAACAUUGAUAUUUUGUAUGGCGUUGAGUAGGGUAUUUAAGAAGAGAAUAUGUUGUAUCGUGUUUCUUCGAUCUAAAGAGUAUUUAAGAAGGGAAAUAUUUGUUUGGUAUUAGACGACAGAUCGUUUAUGUAAAGUUUAGAGUUUUGUUGUUUUAGCAAACGAUGAGGAGAUUAAGAGAUUCUUAAUUUAUUCAAGGUAUUCAUACAAUGACAUUGUACGCGAUUGAACAAAAUUCUUAGAAGCUACUUUAAUAGGGAAUCGUUUAAUUUUUACUUUUUAUUCCGUCUUUUUAUUAUCUCACUUUUGUAUAACUUAUCGCAUCAUUUUGUAUAACUUUCGUCGACGAAGUAUUAUCAGUUGUAACAUUUAUUAACGCUAUUCAAAACACGUAGCAUACAAACCUAUAAAUCUCGUUUGUAAUAUAACAGUUUAUAAGUUGUAAACCUAUUUAACUUUUUUAUAGGAAUAGGUAAAUCCUUUUAAAGUAACCGUUAUCAAAUAUGUUUUAACGAUAGUCACGAUAAUAAGUGUAUACGUUUAACAGGGGGAAUGAUUAUUAUGCGAUGUCCGGAAUCAGGUUCGCGCAAAGAGAGACGUUUGAACCUAGGGAUCGGUAUGGUUGAGGCCGUGUGAACGCGUUCGUGUCGGCAUUAAUUGAACUUUGCUCGAUAAGCAUUACGAGCUGCUAUCGGAGACGGGAUUUCAUGCAAAAGAAAAUCUUUCGGCGCGUUAAGAUCAUCCGGUGAGACAAGAAUCCUUUUUCUUCGAGUGUGUUCAUUCGGUCGGUUGUCGCGUUCACGCUAUGCGAUAAUUAGGAAACGAUUAAUUUCGCUCCGCGUAACACGUCGUUACAAAUGGGAUUUGAUACAACCAACAGUUUAUCUGAUGAACAAAAACAUAUUACCCUGAGCACGAACGACGUAAUGCGGUAAAGAAAAUACGUAGUUAACAGCGCCAGUGAAACGAUAAAAGCUGUUGUUCUUCAAGGUAUAAAAAUUUGGCUGCGAUCGAGUCUCGUUCACGUCUCUAAACGCAUAAUCAUAUUGCGUAAUUUGUUUAGGGCCUUCGAACCGAGACUGAAAUUUGUUUGUUCCAAAUUUCAGAUUUUGCAGAUUGGACGAUUUUAACGAAGUACUUUACAUCAGUAUUUAUGUAUCAGUGGAUUCUUGAGGAUGCUUGCUAAAAUACUGGCGAGAUGUUGGACUAUUUCUUUGCAGAAGAUACAUCUGUCAUUAGGUACUUCGGAUUUCCAGAGUCUAUCCUGCAACAUUCUGCGACCUUUCAUCCAUCCAAGAGGAAUCUACAUCCGCAAAAAGCAGGCGAUCAUUAUUCUUCAAGCACCUUCACAUAUCUGGUUUCCCAAGUUUCACCAUGUUCGUCUUCCAUGAUAAUGCUACAACUGCCAAUGAAAAAACCAUGAAACACGCGAAUCUAUGAAAUUUCAAUGAAAAAUUACAAACUGGUAGUUCUAGUAUCGAAACGUUCUACGCAACAAACCAAUCUACCAACCUUCCCACCCAACUACCUUCCACAAAAGACUAACUCUUCCAGGCGAAUCAACGUAUGGACAAACGUUACAACCAUAAACAUCCAAACGAAGUCUCACCGUUGUUUGCUUACCUUUCACCUCCAUCUACUCUUUCAACCAGAGGCCUGAUUUCAAUUCACCGUUGAAUCACGGUAACCUGACGUUCGAUUGCACUUUUUCAAACGCCCAUUACCCCGGAGAUCCGGCGUGGAGGGUGGCCAGGUCGUUACCUAUGGGUGUCGAGGUGGUAUGAUAGUCACGGCAUACGUGAUCAGGCGCGUGAGCGAACUGCCAAGGCACGCGUCGCCGUGCCGGAGUACGUAAUUAUCAUAGGGAAGUUAGGGUUGCCUUCGGAUACACAUACACAUAUACACAUGUGUAAAUACAUAUGUAUACGUAUGUGUGCACAGAUGUAGGAAUAUAUGUACACGUGGGAGAGAGGUCGAGGGUUGGUCGACUUGGGUCAGCAAGUCACGCGAGGCACGCUCGUGGCGGACGUGGAAACAGGGAGGAGUACUUUUAUUGUUCUACCAGUUGUCUUAGAGUCGCUUUUCCUGGCCACUGGGCAGACCGGUUGAGAACGGAGGUCGAUAUCUAUGCCUGGACGAACCUUUUACCCCCGUGCAUGCCUGUUCCUUUCGUGGAACAUGUCUGACCUUUCGUGUGACUUCUCGAUCGCCAAUUUUUUGAGUACUUUCAAACUGCCGUACAGAUGUGGAGAACUGGAUGAAGAUUUCGGAUCGAAGAGCGAGGCGGAAGAUUUUUAAUUUUGAAGAUAACGCGGAGAAUUUCCUUCUGGAAAAUUUGUCAGGGAAUUUUUGUGCGAUGUCGAAAAGUAAGCGUAAAAGAUAAAUGUUGGAGCUGAUAAUAUUGCAAAGCAACACAGCACCUAGUAGGUAUAUUCACCUAUAGUUAUGCAACAGAGUCGCCGGUUUCUUCUGAAGAAAUCGCGUGAACAAAAUGCGCCGUGGAGCUUCCUUCCAUCGAUAAGAAGUAUACAAGCGUAAUCCACCAUAAGUUUCGGCGAACACGCGAUCAACGUUAAUGACUGUGCUCGAAUUACCACGGGGAACGUAUAUAAGUAUCUGGAAUAUUCGUUUAUGGCCUAGUGAACCUAUCGUUGGACAGUUUAUCACUAGACCGCGGAUUUUUGAUGCAUGUGUGCGAAAUUUAAGUAUGCAAAAAUACACAGAACGUAUAUAAAAUAUUCAAAGUAGAGCAUUUGUUUUAAUGUUUAAUAAGUAUGACGAAUCUCUAUUUAAAUUCUAUUUUUCUAAUUUUUUAAUUUCUCUAAAAAUCUACAAAGAUAUAAAUUUGUAUAAAAAUCUGCAGUCUAUUCAUCACCAUCCACGACCUCGAAGAAAUGGAAAGAAGAUACCGAAGAAGAUAUCGUCGUAUCGUUGGGAACGCAUUCUAAAUUAUUUUCGACAGAAAGGAAUAUUAUUAGAAGAAGAGCAAAUUAAUUUGGUCUGUGAGAGGUGUGCGGACGAAAGGGUAGCUUGUAAUUUCAAUUUGACGCGAGAGCCACAAAGUGGCCCGGGGCCAACACGCGUCGUCGCGUAAUUUCAUGAGGUUCCUGCUGACGAUGGUUUCGUUCCCUUUCGCGUUGCCCCGUGAUGUGUAAACCGAGUCAAAGGAAGUUGGCCACGAUCAGAACGAUGUUGACGAUUUGCGAGCUUGCUGGAGACGUUGAUGCGUGAAAUGAUAAAAGGCGAGGUGUAGAGAUUGAGUAAGCUAGGCUUUUGUAGUGUAAUAACAGAAGGUGCUCGGUCACCGGUUCGAGAGAAAUCUUAGCUAACUCAGAGUUUGCUGACUUUUACAAUAAACAAUGAAUGUUAUAGGACUUCUAGAAUUUUAGUAUCUCUUGUGUUUCCAGUUGAAAGUAAGGAAUGCGUCGUUUUUUUACUAACGUGUUUGAUAAAAUUAGUGAUAAGUAUUUGUAAUUGAUUUUUGUAUCAAUUUGUCAUACAUUUUUCUACUUUACUUUAUUUUUUAAUGAUAGUAUCACUCGUUCCAUUUUCAGAUAUCAAGAUACAUUUGAAGUUUAUUUGGAGGAAAUUUCUAUCUAUACUUUUUCUAUCCAAAUCUGUAAGAUAUCAAUCAAACUGAAGACAACCAUAAUAAGAGAAAAGUAUUAAUUUGUAAUCAUAGAGUCGUAUGCUUAAAGAAUUCAGAAGGUAAUUUAAAUUAAAAAUGACCAAAGUUUCCGAAAAAUUAUCUAUAUCUAUAGUACCGUGUUCUUCGUUCUCCAGUUUUGGUUUGAAAAAGCUAUCACUGCGUGUACGAUCCGCACGUGCGAACGAGACCAUCAAUUCCCUCUUUGACAACUGAUCCAUGGUGAUUGCAAUCUAACGAGGCGUCGAAACCACAAGCCGUUUACAUCAAACCACCCCAAGCUAAACCUCUGAACUCCGCGAAAUGAUUGUGUCACUACGUAUUCCAUCGAAUUGGCCAAUGUACCAAAUUAAUGUGCAAUCUUUCUGGUUCGUACAAACAUCCAUUCUUACAGUUAUUAUCUCUACAAUGAUUUACCUCAUAAUUUUGUUACUAACGAACACUGCUUUUAUACGUUAAAAUCUUUCCUACCAGAUUUUUCAGAAUUCACAUUCGCUUCUUCAAACCAUAAAGAAACAGGUAACUGUCCUUCGCUUCGUUAUUUCCUAUCAAGCAAACCUACCUUCGUACAUCUUUAUUUUCCCAUAAAGUCAUCCGAAACCGACAUUCACCUUCUCAAACCAGACAAAAACGUCGAACAAAGAACAUCCUACUAUUCCUGAACUCCGCUUCACGUUUCAUUUAAACCAAAUCCAAUUUACCUACCAAAUUACGUUUUCCAGAUCACAAUUCCUCCAUACUUUCCAAUAUGCAAAUCUACGUAGAACUCUAUAUCCUUUUCUUUCAGCCAUAAAAUCUUCCAAAACCAACUUCCCACUCCGAAAACUCAAGAUAAAAUACCAUCCUCCAAUUCCUCCCUCUCUUCUUCGCCAAACCUCUGAAUAGCGGAGAGUCAAAGCGUUAAUUCGCUCUUUGCCAGCUGAUCCAUGGCGUUGUAACCUGGCCGGGCGUCCAGAAGCCGUUUAUAACAAGCUGCCCGCGGGCAGGGCUCUCUGAUCUCCGCGAGAUGAUUGUGCCAGCGCAGUCCACAGGGUGGGGCCUGGCUGUUCGGUGUUGCCGCGCGGCCAAGCGUCUCUACACAGCCCCCGGGGCUUGUUCUCUCUCUCUCUCUCUCUCUCUCUCUCGACGACAAAGGGGCCGCGGUUCAACGCGCCACAAAGCGCCGGGACGCCCACUCACACCCCAUCCUCACGUACACCUACACGCACACAUAAUUCUCACAUAUACAAAGGCACAUACAAUCUAGUCUCAUACAUAGACAUAUCAAAGAUAUACACACAUAGGCAUGCGUGCACCCGUACACACACAGAGGUAUACAUGCGUGCAUCCACAUAUGCAUAGGUACACUCACACAGAUAUAUGUAUAAAUACUUGUAUUCUAUAUAUGCAUAUAUAUUAUACACUCUCACGCGUAUAUGUGUGCAUACGUAUGUGUAUAUAGAGAAAUAUAUAUGUAUGUAACUGGACUGAGGAUAUUUAUGCAAAUUGGUAUUUUUAUGAACACAACUAAAAGAGCAGAGAUCUGGGCAGAGAUUUGUUUCAUCUAGCAGAUGUUAGAACAGAUAACUGUUCUAUUCCAUAAGCGCAUAAAAAUCCGCAGUACAUAUGCGAAUAUACUGUGUUCCAUGUAUUACGCUCUUAUACAGAUACGUGUAUAUGUAUGGGGAGAGAGUCGUAGAUUCGAAUACAAAGGCAAGGGAAGAAGGUAGGAGUCGCGACGCGUGAACUUGCACCCAGAGGCGCCUCCGACCACCCUUUGGCCGGGCUGUAUGUAGCGAAUCGAGAACGGGGAGAAGGAAAAUCUGGAGGUGGAGAAGGGAGAAGGAGGAACUGGAAUCCUAGCACCCGUGGCCGAUAAGAUGGCAACGAGGAUCGAUUCGUAGAGACGACUUCUCUCUGGCGGUUUCAGUUACGAAGCUUUUUGUGGUGGAGUUAUUGGGAGAAAGCCAUUUCGACAAAUCGGCGAACUACAAUUUCAAGAAACACCGUCACGUACACAGCAACAGGAACGUUCUACAACCUAUGAACCUCAAGUCGAAACGAUUAUUCCUACCACGAACCACUCCAAACGUCCGAAAGUACAAACCUCCGAUCAUAACAAUAGAACGUCAAAUUACUAUGAACUAGGAAUAACGAA